AGAGUUUGAUCCUGGCUCAGGAUGAACGCUGGCGGCGUGCUUAACACAUGCAAGUCGAACGAAGCACUUUUAUUUGAUUUCUUCGGAAUGAAGAUUUUAGUGACUGAGUGGCGGACGGGUGAGUAACGCGUGGGUAACCUGCCUCAUACAGGGGGAUAACAGUUAGAAAUGACUGCUAAUACCGCAUAAGACCACAGCACCGCAUGGUGCAGGGGUAAAAACUCCGGUGGUAUGAGAUGGACCCGCGUCUGAUUAGGUAGUUGGUGGGGUAACGGCCUACCAAGCCGACGAUCAGUAGCCGACCUGAGAGGGUGACCGGCCACAUUGGGACUGAGACACGGCCCAAACUCCUACGGGAGGCAGCAGUGGGGAAUAUUGCACAAUGGGGGAAACCCUGAUGCAGCGACGCCGCGUGAGCGAUGAAGUAUUUCGGUAUGUAAAGCUCUAUCAGCAGGGAAGAAAAUGACGGUACCUUACUAAGAAGCACCGGCUAAAUACGUGCCAGCAGCCGCGGUAGUACGUAUGGUGCAAGCGUUAUCCGGAUUUACUGGGUGUAAAGGGAGCGUAGACGGAGUGGCAAGUCUGAUGUGAAAACCCGGGGCUCAACCCCGGGACUGCAUUGGAAACUGUCAAUCUAGAGUACCGGAGAGGUAAGCGGAAUUCCUAGUGUAGCGGUGAAAUGCGUAGAUAUUAGGAGGAACACCAGUGGCGAAGGCGGCUUACUGGACGGUAACUGACGUUGAGGCGCGAAAGUGUGGGGAGCAAACAGGAUUAGAUACCCUGGUAGUCCACACCGUAAACGAUGGAUACUAGGUGUAGGAGGGAUUAAACCCAUCUGUGCCGGCGUUAACACAAUAAGUAUCCCACCUGAGUAGUACGACCGCAAGGUUAAAACUCAAAGGAAUUGACGGGGGCCCGCACAAGCAGUGGAGUAUGUGGUUUAAUUCGACGCAACGCGAAGAACCUUACCAGGGCUUGACAUAUACCGGAAUACUUAAGAGAUUAAGUAGUCCUUCGGGACCGGUAAACAGGUGGUGCAUGGUUGUCGUCAGCUCGUGUCGUGAGAUGUUGGGUUAAGUCCCGCAACGAGCGCAACCCUUAUUGUUAGUUGCUACGCAAGAGCACUCUAGCGAGACUGCCGUUGACAAAACGGAGGAAGGUGGGGACGACGUCAAAUCAUCAUGCCCCUUAUGUCCUGGGCUACACACGUAAUACAAUGGCGCACACGGAGGGAAGCAAAACCGCGAGGUGGAGCAAAUCCCUAAAAGGCGUCUCAGUUCGGAUUGCAGUCUGCAACUCGACUGCAUGAAGUCGGAAUUGCUAGUAAUCGCGGAUCAGCAUGCCGCGGUGAAUACGUUCCCGGGCCUUGCACUCACCGCCCGUCA
rnacentral:rRNA from 1 species